rnacentral:lncRNA from 1 species
UGACUCUCAAUUGAUUUAAAUAUUGAAAAAUCUUCUAUCGAAAAAAAAAAUAGAUAAUAAAAUUUUGCUUUAAGUCUAAUUGCAACCAAAGACUAGUGACAAUCACAUCUUCGAGUCCAUGUAAUAUAUCAGAAGAUUACCGACUUCACCAUGGCCUCAGCAUUAUCGAUCUUAAUCCAAUCUCAAAGUUCAAUAGUAGUAGCAGCAGCAACA